rnacentral:lncRNA from 1 species
GGAAUUUCCUUUUUUAUGUGUUUAAUUCCCAAGCAGCUGGAGUGUUAGAAGCAUAAAAAGGUGAGCUCAAAUAAUCAUUCAUUCAUUAGAAUGAAUGAUUAUUUGACUAUAUCUAAUCACAGCCUACGGAAUUCAACACAAGCUAUUAUUAUCUUUACAGCUGGGUAAUACUGUGGCUACUCUACCAAAUGAAUAAGCUAUUCAAGCUUGCCACAAGAGCUGUAAGAGACUGGCCCUAGAUAUCCAUCAGCAUCAGCACCACAGCUUCCUCAGCAGAUGUCCCCAGAACCAUCACUGGGGUCAUGGCCAAGAAUAAUACUGAGAGGGAGACAAUGCUUGUCCAGCUUAAGAACUUGUUCUCCACCCACUAUUCUGGAAUAGGAGAGUCCACACAUGGAGUUAAUCAGGGGAAGUGGGAUAAAUCCUUUGCCUACAACUAACACAGCUACAGCCUGUACACCUCUUUCCCAGAGAUUGGCUGCCAGGACAGCUCCUCAGAGAAGGCCAUGGCCCCAACAAGUAGGAAAGAGUCUGUACCUUCAGGCAAGCUUCUCCAUCAGACCAGUGAAAAAUAGAAUUGGGAAGCAUAGAUGCCCAUGGAAAAAAGGGAAAACAAAGCACUGAGGGAGUGGAGGACAGAGGCCCUGAAGAUGUGUGCAAAUGGUCUCCAUAGGAAUGAACUUCAGCUAAAGACAUUGGCUAAAUCAGCAUGAAUUACAAUGAGAAGCCAGGAUUUCUAAAAUCUUAAUAGGCAUAUUUAGCUACCUCUUAUUAUCUACUUCCUCUUAUUCAGAGCAAAUGAUCACAGAUAAAUCACAGAUCUACACAUUUUGCACAUGAUGUAAAAAUUGUGGAAAUAAUUGAACAGGAAUAUGAGGAGCAUAUAGACAAAUUUUAAUUGCUUGUCUUAUUGCUCCUGCCUGCUGCUAAGUUUGAACCCUUGAAUCCUCUGUUCUUCUAAUCAAUACAGGAAUACAAAAUGUGCCUUUUGUUUAGGAAGUCACUAGUACAUCAGCUUCAACUGAAG